AUUGAACGCUGGCGGCAGGCCUAACACAUGCAAGUCGAGCGGAGCGGCGGACGGGUGAGUAAUGCAUAGGAGUCUGCCUGGUAGUGGGGGAUAACGACCGGAAACGGGCGCUAGUACCGAAUACUAUCAGAUAAGCCUCGGUCGGAUUAGCUAGUGGGUGGGGUAAAGGCCUACCAAGGCGACGAUCCGUAACUGGUCUGAGAGGAGGAUCAGUCACACUGGAACGGAGACACGGCCCAGACUCCUACGGGAGGCAGCAGUGGGGAAUAGUGGACAAUGGGCGAAAGCCUGAUCCAGCCAUGCCGCGUGUGUGAAGAAGGUCUUCGGAUUGUAAAGCACUUUAAGUUGGGAGGCGUUACCAACAGAAUAAGCACCGGCUAACUUCGUGCCAGCAGCCGCGGUAAUUC
rnacentral:rRNA from 1 species